rnacentral:rRNA from 1 species
AUUGAACGCUGGCGGCAUGCCUAACACAUGCAAGUCGAGCGGAGUGGCGGACGGGCGGGUGAUGCCUAGGAAGCUGCCUGGUAGUGAGGGAUAACGUCCGGAAAGGGGCGCUGAUCCCGCAUCCGUUCAGAUGAGCCUAGGUCGGAUUAGCUAGUUGGUGGGGUAAAGGCCUACCAAGGCAACGAUCCGUAGCUGGUCUGAGAGGAUGAUCAGUCACACUGGAACUGAGAAACGGUCCAGACUCCUACGGGAGGCAGCAGUGGGGAAUAUUGGACAAUGGGCGAAAGCCUGACCAAGCCAUGCCGCGUGUGUGAAGAAGGUCUUCGGAUUGUAAAGCACUUUAAGUUGGGAGGCGUUACCAACAGAAUAAGCACCGGCUAACUCCGUGCCAGCAGCCGCGGUAAUUC